UACGUAGGGUGCAAGCGUUGUCCGGAAUUAUUGGGCGUAAAGAGCUCGUAGGCGGUUUGUCGCGUCUGCUGUGAAAACUCGGGGCUUAACUCCGGGCCUGCAGUGGGUACGGGCAGACUAGAGUGCGGUAGGGGAGACUGGAAUUCCUGGUGUAGCGGUGAAAUGCGCAGAUAUCAGGAGGAACACCAAUUGCGAAGGCAGCUCGCUGGAACGUAACUGACGCUGAGACGCGAAAGCGUGGGGAGCAAACAGG
rnacentral:rRNA from 1 species